rnacentral:rRNA from 1 species
AAUAAGCGGAGGAAAAGAAACCAACAGGGAUUGCCUUAGUAACGGCGAGUGAAGCGGCAAAAGCUCAGAUUUGAAAUCUGGUGUCAUUUUGGCAUCCGAGUUGUAGUCUGUAGAGGUGUAUUCGAGUGUAGCUUUGGCUUAAGUUCCUUGGAACAGGACGUCAUAGAGGGUGAGAACCCCGUUAACGGCCUUUGUCUUAUGCUCAUGUGAAUCUCCUUCAACGAGUCGAGUUGUUUGGGAAUGCAGCUCUAAAUGGGUGGUAAAUUCCAUCUAAAGCUAAAUACUGGCAAGAGACCGAUAGCGCACAAGUAGAGUGAUCGAAAGAUGAAAAGAACUCUGAACAGAGAGUUAAAUAGUACGUGAAAUUGUUGAAAGGGAAGCACUUGCAACCAGACGCACUUGCAGCCGAUCAAUUCUCAUUUUUGAGGGUGCACUCGGUUGUCUGUGGGUCAGCAUCAGUUAUGGUGGUAGGAAAAAGACUUAGGGAAUGUAGCUUCUUUCGGGGAGUGUUAUAGCCUUUUGUGCAAUGCUGCCUGCUGUGACUGAGGACCGCGCUUUGGCGAGGAUGCUGACAUAAUGGUUGUAAGUGACCCGUCUUGAAACACGGG